rnacentral:rRNA from 1 species
CGGAGGGUGCGAGCGUUGUCCGGAAUCAUUGGGCGUAAGGGCGCGUAGGUGGCCCGGUCAGUCUUUGGUGAAAGCGCGGGGCUCAACCCUGCGUCGGCCAGGGAUACUGCCGCGGCUCGAGCACUGUAGAGGCAGGCGGAAUUCCGGGUGUAGCGGUGGAAUGCGUAGAGAUCCGGAAGAACACCGGUGGCGAAGGCGGCCUGCUGGGCAGUUUUUGCUGACACUGAGGCGCGACAGCGUGGGGAGCAAACAGGAUUAGAUACCCUGGUAGUCCACGCCGUAAACGAUGAGUACUAGGUAUAGGAGGUAUCGACUCCUUCUGUGCCGCAGUUAACACAAUAAGUACUCCGCCUGGGAAGUACGAUCGCAAGAUUA